rnacentral:tRNA from 1 species
GUCGGGGUGGCGGAAUUGGUAGACGCGCUAGAUUCAGGUUCUAGUGGGCUGACGCCUGUGGGAGUUCGAGUCUCCCCCUCGACACCA